rnacentral:tRNA from 1 species
GGCUUGGUAGUUUAUUUUAAGACGUUAGAUUGCAAAUCUGAAGAUGUAGGUUGAAUACUUAAGCUU